rnacentral:rRNA from 1 species
ACCAAAUAGAUACCCGGGUAGUCCACGCUGUAAACGAUGAGAACUAGACGUUGGAAGGAUCUGCCUUUCAGUGUCGCAGCUAACGCGUUAAGUUCUCCGCCUGGGGAGUACGGCCGCAAGGUUGAAACUCAAGGAAUUGACGGGGGCCCGCACAAGCGGUGGAGUAUGUGGUUUAAUUCGAUGCAACGCGAAGAACCUUACCUGGUCUUGACAUCCUGGGGAACCCUGCAGAGAUGCGGGGGGUUGCCUUCGGGAGCCCAGAGACAGGUGCUGCAUGGCUGUCGUCAGCUCGUGUCGUGAGAUGUUAGGGUUAACGU